rnacentral:tRNA from 1 species
GGGCCUGUGGCUCAGUGGCAGAGCGUCCGCUUAGCAAAUUACUUGCGGGAGGUCCAGGGUUCGAUUCCCUGCUGGUCCA